AUGAUUAGCACGAAGAGACUUGCUCAACUGGGAAAGAAGUGGCAAAGGGUGGCGGCACUUGGGAGGAAGAGGCUCACAGUGACAGCCAAAGAAGAUGAAGAAUGCUGCACCUCUGGAGUGGUAAAGGGCCACUGCAUCACGUACACGGCCGACGGAAGCCGUUUCGAGGUCCCGUUGGUGUACCUCAGCACGAUGGUCUUCGGAGAGCUCCUAAGAGUGUCCCAGGAAGAGUUUGGUUUCGCAAGCAAAGGAAAGAUCACACUGCCUUGUGAUGCCGCAGUGAUGGAGUAUGUCAUGUGCUUGCUCAGCAGAGAUGCCUCUGCCGAGGUCAAGAAGGCAUUGCUGAGUUCUAUGGUGAUAUCUUGCCACUACACUGUUUCUGUGAUGCCAACUGUUGGAGACAGCCAGAAAAUUUGCUGUUCGUAA
rnacentral:rRNA from 1 species